AGACCGAUGUGGAACGUUCCGGGCUGCGACCAUGACCGCGACCACGACUUUAAACCAUGGGUAGAAGUGAUAAUCAAUCAACUUAAAGGAGGAUCAAUGCAGUUGGACAUGCUUUCCAUUGUGGGGAUGCCUGGGAUAGGUAAGACAACUCUGGCACAAAAGGUUUACCAUGAUCCUUCAGUUACAUCUCACUUCCAUGUUCGUGCUUGGUGUUGUAUCUCUCAAACAUAUAACAAGCGAGAUCUGUUGUCUGAGAUUUUGGCUUGCAUUGAUCAGAAAGCUCAAUUUUCUGAGACGAAGGAAGAUGAUGAUUUGCCUGAUAUAAUCCGUAAAAACCUGAAGGGAAAGAAAUAUCUCAUAUUUCUGGAUGAUGUAUGGGAUAUUGAGGCAUGGCAUACUUUGAAAAUAUCGUUUCCUGAUGAUGCCAAUGGAAGCAGAAUUCUCUUAACAAGUCGGGAUCAUGAGAUUACUGGAAAUCGUCAUGUUGUUCAGCUACUUACUGAUGACGAAAGCUGGGAAUUACUACAGACAAAUGUGGCAAAUGCUAGAGUAGAAGUCUACCCUCCAGAACUGAAUGUUCUUGGGAGGAAAAUAGCAAGAAACUGUAAGGGGCUGCCUUUAUCAAUUGUCAUCAUAUCUGGAAUUCUUGCUACUCUAGAUCAAGCUGGUUGGGUGGAAGUCUUGAAUAGCCUAAGUUCAAACAUAGUUUGUGACACGGAUCAAUGCAAGAGUAUACUGGAAUUGAGUUACAUACAUCUACCUGAUCAUUUAAAGCCAUGCCUCCUCUACUUUGGAGCAUUUAGAGAAGAUCAAGCAAUUCCUACCCAGAGGUUGAAGUGGUUAUGGAUCGCUGAAGGAUUUGUUCAGAAGAAUGAGUCAAAAAGCCCAGAAGAAAUUGUAGAAGGCUAUAUAACGAGUCUAAUUAAGAGAAGCUUGGUUACAGUGGGGAAACAGAGAUCUUUAGGCGGGGUCAAGACCUGCCACAUUCAUGAUUUGUUGCAUGUGUUUUGCAAGGGAAAAGCCAAAGAUAUAAAUUUUCUACAACUGUCUAAGGAGGCGUUUGAUGGGCCACACCACCUACGUCGGUUAUCAUACGGCUCUGAUCUCAAGUAUAUUGCAAAAUCAAGGAUAUUUUUUACCCGUAUACGCUCUCUGCUGCUGCGGUGUAAUUACUUCAGCAGUAAAGACACGGACUAUAUGCUAUCUUUUGUUUUUGUCCUGAAACUUCUUAGAGUCUUGGAUUUGGGAAAUACGGAGAUAGGCUAUACUUUCCCAAGUGAAUUAUGCUUGCUUGUUCAUUUGAGGUACUUGGCAGUAAAAUUUCAAGGCCGUAAGCUGAAGAUCCCAUCCUCACUUGCGAACCUUUCAAACUUGGAAACUUUACUUCUGACGGUACAUUGUUUUGACAGAGCACAUUGUUUACUGCCUGAUGCUUUGUGGAACAUGCAGAAAUUGAGGCAUCUCCAUGUGUAUGGUGCUUUCAUUGAUAUUAGGUUGGCCAAUGACAGCCUUGACAGCUCCUCCACUUUAUAUGAUUUAGCCACCUUUUCCACUCCAAAGUUUUAUCUGGGGCAAAGCAUGGUACAGAUGAUGAGAAAGUUUCCAAACGUUCGUGAACUGAAAUGCCGUUUGCUAGAAUCCGAAGAAUCUACUGGGGAGAGCAACGCCAUUGCGGAAAUGGGCUUUCUGACUCAACUAGAAUCACUAAAGCUGACUCUAGGUAAUGUGACAGCACAUCAUAUUGAAUUUCGUCUCCCCUUAAAUCUUAAACAGCUGACCCUUGAGUACUUUCCUUGGAAUAUGAUUUCCACAAUAAAAGAAAUACAUAAUCUUGAGGUUCUUAAAAUACUUCAACCAGCUGAUGGAGUAGAGGAAUGAGACAUGGAAGACAUGGAAGAAGAGGAAAUCUUCCCAAAACGCAAAUUCUUGAAAUUGGAAUCCUUGCAGACAGUCAGGUGAAGAGGCUCAGGACAUCAUUUUCCCAGUCUUGAGAAAUUAGUUUUGGAACGUUGCAAGGAAUUGAAAGAGCUGCCUUCUUGUUUAUGGGAAACAUUAACUCUUCAAUUGAUUGAGGUGCGUGGAUGUCUACGCUCUACUGGAGAUUUUGUUCGAGAUAUCAAGGAACAACAGGUGGACUACGGAAAUAAGGAUCUGAAAAUCCUUAUCUCAUGUGAAAUUGGUGUGAGUUAAGGACACUCCUCCAUGGUCCGACUGAGAUUCAAAAGGAUGAUCAGGAUAGUCAGAAAGAUAAUCUGCCAUAAGGAAUACAAACUCAGGAUCGUGAAGUUGUGUAUCAAAACAUGUAUCACAAUAGCUUUAUCAGAAACUGGUAAUACACAAUCUGAUACAAUCUUGUAUUGAUGCUUGGUCAAGUGUGUUGUGUCAUGGAAGUCGGAUGCUAUGAAGGUGAUGGUAUGUGCAUCUGGGGUACAUAUCAUGUGUUGUGCUACGCUAUUAGCUUGGACCUGUUCUGCUCCCUGAAUGAACUUUUGAGAUGCUGGUCUGUUUAAUUUGUGCUAUGAAAGGUUGUGGAGACUUGAAAGUGGGAGCUGCUUUGUAUAUGGUAAUGCUUCAUUUAUAUUGGUUUGAGCAA